rnacentral:rRNA from 1 species
UGGCGGCCUUAGCGCGGUGGUCCCACCUGACCCAUGCCGAACUCAGAAGUGAAACGCCGUAGCGCCGAUGGUAGUGUGGGGUCUCCCCAUGCGAGAGUAGGGAACUGCCAGGC